AACGAACGCUGGCGGCAGGCUUAACACAUGCAAGUCGAGCGCCCCGCAAGGGGAGCGGCAGACGGGUGAGUAACGCGUGGGAAUCUACCCAUCUCUACGGAAUAACGCAUGGAAACGUGUGCUAAUACCGUAUACGUCCCUCGGGAGAAAGAUUUGUCGGAGAUGGAUGAGCCCGCGUUGGAUUAGCUAGUUGGUGGGGUAAAGGCCUACCAAGGCGACGAUCCAUAGCUGGUCUGAGAGGAUGAUCGGCCACACUGGGACUGAGACACGGCCAAGACUCCUACGGGAGGCAGCAGUGGGGAAUAUUGGACAAUGGGCGCAAGCCUGAUCCAGCCAUGCCGCGUGAGUGAUGAAGGCCCUAGGGUUGUAAAGCUCUUUCACCGGUGAAGAUAAUGACGGUAACCGGAGAAGAAGCCCCGGCUAACUUCGUGCCAGCCGCCGCCGUAACAC
rnacentral:rRNA from 1 species